rnacentral:rRNA from 1 species
GCGGCGUGCCUAAUACAUGCAAGUCGAACGCACUGACGUCGACAGAAGGUGCUUGCACUGGAAGUUGAUUGACGUGAGUGGCGGACGGGUGAGUAACACGUGGGUAACCUGCCCUUAAGCGGGGGAUAACAUUUGGAAACAGAUGCUAAUACCGCAUAAAAGUUGAGAUCACAUGGUCUUAAUUUGAAAGACGGCCUUUGGCUGUCACUUAAGGAUGGACCCGCGGCGUAUUAGCUAGUUGGUGAGAUAAUAGCCCACCAAGGCGAUGAUACGUAGCCGACCUGAGAGGGUAAUCGGCCACAUUGGGACUGAGACACGGCCCAAACUCCUACGGGAGGCAGCAGUAGGGAAUCUUCCACAAUGGACGAAAGUCUGAUGGAGCAACGCCGCGUGAGUGAAGAAGGUUUUCGGAUCGUAAAACUCUGUUGUUGGAGAAGAACAGGGACUAGAGUAACUGUUAGUCCUUUGACGGUAUCCAACCAGAAAGCCACGGCUAACUACGUGCCAGCAGCCGCGGUAAUACGUAGGUGGCAAGCGUUGUCCGGAUUUAUUGGGCGUAAAGCGAGCGCAGGCGGUUUCUUAAGUCUGAUGUGAAAGCCUUCGGCUUAACCGAAGAAGUGCAUCAGAUACUGGGAAACUUGAGUGCAGAAGAGGAAAGUGGAACUCCAUGUGUAGCGGUGAAAUGCGUAGAUAUAUGGAAGAACACCAGUGGCGAAGGCGGCUUUCCGGUCUGUAACUGACGCUGAGGCUCGAAAGUAUGGGGAGCGAACAGGAUUAGAUACCCUGGUAGUCCAUACCGUAAACGAUGAAUGCUAAGUGUUGGAGGGUUUCCGCCCUUCAGUGCUGCAGCUAACGCAUUAAGCAUUCCGCCUGGGGAGUACGACCGCAAGGUUGAAACUCAAAGGAAUUGACGGGGGCCCGCACAAGCGGUGGAGCAUGUGGUUUAAUUGGAAGCUACGCGAAGAACCUUACCAGGUCUUGACAUCUAGCGCCAAUCCUAGAGAUAGGACGUUCCCUUCGGGGACGCUAAGACAGGUGGUGCAUGGUUGUCGUCAGCUCGUGUCGUGAGAUGUUGGGUUAAGUCCCGCAACGAGCGCAACCCUUAUGAUUAGUUGCCAGCAUUUAGUUGGGCACUCUAAUCAGACUGCCGGUGACAAACCGGAGGAAGGU